rnacentral:rRNA from 1 species
GACGAACGCUGGCGGCGUGCUUAACACAUGCAAGUCGAACGGAAAGGCCCUGCUUUUGUGGGGUGCUCGAGUGGCGAACGGGUGAGUAACACGUGAGUAACCUGCCCUUGACUUUGGGAUAACUUCAGGAAACUGGGGCUAAUACCGGAUAGGAGAUCCUGCUGCAUGGUGGGGGUUGGAAAGUUUCGGCGGUUGGGGAUGGACUCGCGGCUUAUCAGCCUGUUGGUGGGGUAGUGGCUUAACAAGGCUUUGACGGGUAGCCGGCCUGAGAGGGUGACCGGCCACAUUGGGACUGGGCUACGGCCAGACUCCUACGGGAGGCAGCGGGGGGGAGUAUUGCACAAUGGGCGGAAGCCUGAUGCAGCAACGCCGCGUGCGGGAUGCCGGCCUUCGGGUUGUAAACCGCUUUCGCCUGUGACGAAGCGUGAGUGACGGUAAUGGGUAAAGAAGCACCGGCUAACUACGUG